rnacentral:rRNA from 1 species
UAGGGAAUAUUAGAAAUGGACGAAAGUCUGAUCUAGCAACACCGCGUGUGCGAAGAAGGCCUUCGGGUCGUAAAGCACUUUUUUGGAAGGAAUAGGAAGGAAUGUACUUCCAGAAUAAGUCUCGGCUAACUACGUGCCAGCAGCCGCGGUAACACGUAGGAGGCGAACGUUAUCCGGAUUUACUGGGCGUAAAGCGCGUGUAGGUGGUACUGUAAGUAGGGCGUGAAAGCUCCCGGCUCAACUGGGAGAGGCCGUUCUAAACUACAGAACUAGAGGAUGGUAGAGGGAGGUGGAAUUCCAGGUGUAGCGGUGGAAUGCGCAGAUAUCUGGAGGAACACCGGUGGCGAAGGCGGCCUCCUGGACCAUUCCUGACACUCAGACGCGAAAGCCAGGGUAGCAAACG